rnacentral:ncRNA from 1 species
UGAAUGAAGAGUUUGAUCCUGGCUCAGGAUGAACGCUGACAGAAUGCUUAACACAUGCAAGUCGACUUGAAGCAACUUCGGUUGUGGAAAGUGGCGGACGGGUGAGUAACGCGUAAAGAACUUGCCCUUCAGUCUGGGACAACCAUUGGAAACGAUGGCUAAUACCGGAUAUUAUGGAACUCUCGCAUGGGAGGAUCAUGAAAGCUAUAUGCGCUGAAGGAGAGCUUUGCGUUCCAUUAGCUAGUUGGUGAGGUAACGGCUCACCAAGGCGACGAUGGAUAGCCGGCCUGAGAGGGUGAUCGGCCACAAGGGGACUGAGACACGGCCCUUACUCCUACGGGAGGCAGCAGUGGGGAAUAUUGGACAAUGGACCAAAAGUCUGAUCCAGCAAUUCUGUGUGCACGAUGAAGGUUUUCGGAUCGUAAAGUGCUUUCAGUUGGGAAGAAGAAAGUGACGGUACCAACAGAAGAAGCGACGGCUAAAUACGUGCCAGCAGCCGCGGUAAUACGUAUGUCGCAAGCGUUAUCCGGAUUUAUUGGGCGUAAAGCGCGUCUAGGCGGGUUCAUAAGUCUGAUGUUAAAAUGCGGGGCUCAACUCCGUAUUGCGUUGGAAACUGUGAACCUAGAGUAUCAGAGAGGUGGGCGGAACUACAAGUGUAGAGGUGAAAUUCGUAGAUAUUUGUAGGAAUGCCGAUGGAGAAGUCAGCUCACUGGAUGAAUACUGACGCUAAAGCGCGAAAGCGUGGGUAGCAAACAGGAUUAGAUACCCUGGUAGUCCACGCCGUAAACGAUGAUCACUAGGUGUUGGGGGUCGAACCUCAGCGCCCAAGCUAACGCGAUAAGUGAUCCGCCUGGGGAGUACGCACGCAA